rnacentral:rRNA from 1 species
UAUGCACCGAAGCCGCGGCAGCGAUAUGUAAAUAUUGUUGGGUAGGGGAGCGUUCUGUAAGCCUGUGAAGGUGACCUGUGAGGGUUGCUGGAGGUAUCAGAAGUGCGAAUGCUGACAUAAGUAACGAUAAUGCGGGUGAAAAACCCGCACGCCGGAAGACCAAGGGUUCCUGUCCAACGUUAAUCGGGGCAGGGUGAGUCGACCCCUAAGGCGAGGCUGAAAAGCGUAGUCGAUGGGCAACGGGUUAAUAUUCCCGUACUGGUGGUAACUGCGAAGGGGGGACGGAGAAAGCUAAAUCAUCCGGGCGACGGUUGUCCCGGUUUAAGCGUGCAGGUGGACUGACCAGGCAAAUCCGGUCGGUUGUUAACACUGAGGCGUGACGACGAGCCACUACGGUGGUGAAGUGAUUGAUGCUCUGCUUCCGGGAAAAGCCUCUAAGCUCCAGGUUACCAUUAAUCGUACCCCAAACCGACACAGGUGGUCAGGUAGAGAAUACU